CUGUCUCAACAACAGACUCGGUGAAAUUGUAAUUCCGGUGAAGAUGCCGGAUACCUGCGACAGGACGGAAAGACCCCAUGGAGCUUUACUGUAGCUUGACAUUGGGUCUUGGUACUACAUGUACAGGAUAGGUGGGAGGCUGUGAAACCAGGACGCCAGUUUUGGCGGAGCCAUCCUUGGGAUACCACCCUUGUAGUACUGGGACUCUAACCAUAGGCCAUGAAUCUGGUCUUGGGACACUGUCAGGUGGGCAGUUUGACUGGGGCGGUCGCCUCCCAAAAGGUAACGG
rnacentral:rRNA from 1 species